CAACAGCAGAUGUUGAUGCCCUAGAAGCACGGUGCGGAGCACAUCCUGGGAUCAAGGUGCCACGGACUGGAAAAUGCUGCUGUGGCGGAGUUCCUGUGUGAAGACAAAACUCCCAGUCCCCCAGAAAAGUGGAGGCAGAAGAGCAGUGACAAGGCAUUGUGUUUAACUUAAAAAACUUAAAAAAUGAACGGACGAAGAAUAGCUUUGUUUGCAUUCUGGUGACUGCUGAGGCUUUGGCUGACGACAGCUUUCAGCUGCACCUGAACUAGGCUGGAUUUGUCUCCUGCUCUCCAUAGG
rnacentral:lncRNA from 1 species